UACGUAGGGUGCAGGCGUUAAUCGGAAUUACUGGGCGUAAAGCGUGCGCGGGCGGUUUCUUAAGUCAGAUGUGAAAGCCCCGGGCUUAACCUGGGAACUGCGUUUGAAACUGGGAGACUUGAGUGUGGCAGAGGGGGGUGGAAUUCCACGUGUAGCAGUGAAAUGCGUAGAUAUGUGGAGGAACACCGAUGGCGAAGGCAGCCCCCUGGGUUAACACUGACGCUCAUGCACGAAAGCGUGGGGAGCAAACAGG
rnacentral:rRNA from 1 species